rnacentral:rRNA from 1 species
GACGAACGCUGGCGGCGUGCUUAACACAUGCAAGUCGAACGGAAAGGCCCUGCUUUUGUGGGGUGCUCGAGUGGCGAACGGGUGAGUAACACGUGAGUAACCUGCCCUUGACUUUGGGAUAACUUCAGGAAACUGGGGCUAAUACCGGAUAGGAGCUCCUGCUGCAUGGUGGGGGUUGGAAAGUUUCGGCGGUUGGGGAUGGACUCGCGGCUUAUCAGCUUGUUGGUGGGGUAGUGGCUUACCAAGGCUUUGACGGGUAGCCGGCCUGAGGGGGUGACCGGCCACAUUGGGACUGAGAUACGGCCCAGACUCCUACGGGAGGCAGCAGUGGGGAAUAUUGCACAAUGGGCGGAAGCCUGAUGCAGCAACGCCGCGUGCGGGAUGACGGCCUUCGGGUUGUAAACCGCUUUCGCCUGUGACGAAGCGUGAGUGACGGUAAUGGGUAAAGAAGCACCGGCUAACUACGUGCCAGCAGCCGCGGUGAUACGUAGGGUGCGAGCGUUGUCCGGAUUUAUUGGGCGUAAAGGGCUCGUAGGUGGUUGAUCGCGUCGGAAGUGUAAUCUUGGGGCUUAACCCUGAGCGUGCUUUCGAUACGGGUUGACUUGAGGAAGGUAGGGGAGAAUGGAAUUCCUGGUGGAGCGGUGGAAUGCGCAGAUAUCAGGAGGAACACCAGUGGCGAAGGCGGUUCUCUGGGCCUUUCCUGACGCUGAGGAGCGAAAGCGUGGGGAGCGAACAGGCUUAGAUACCCUGGUAGUCCACGCUGUAAACGGUGGGUACUAGGUGUGGGGUCCAUUCCACGGGUUCCGUGCCGUAGCUAACGCUUUAAGUACCCCGCCUGGGGAGUACGGCCGCAAGGCUAAAACUCAAAGGAAUUGACGGGGCCCCGCACAAGCGGCGGAGCAUGCGGAUUAAUUCGAUGCAACGCGUAGAACCUUACCUGGGUUUGACAUGGAUCGGGAGCGCUCAGAGAUGGGUGUGCCUCUUUUGGGGUCGGUUCACAGGUGGUGCAUGGCUGUCGUCAGCUCGUGUCGUGAGAUGUUGGGUUAAGUCCCGCAACGAGCGCAACCCUUGUUCACUGUUGCCAGCACGUUAUGGUGGGGACUCAGUGGAGACCGCCGGGGUCAACUCGGAGGAAGGUGGGGAUGACGUCAGGUCAUCAUGCCCCUUAUGUCCAGGGCUUCACGCAUGCUACAAUGGCUGGUACAGAGAGUGGCGAGCCUGUGAGGGUGAGCGAAUCUCGGAAAGCCGGUCUCAGUUCGGAUUGGGGUCUGCAACUCGACCUCAUGAAGUCGGAGUCGCUAGUAAUCGCAGAUCAGCAACGCUGCGGUGAAUACGUUCCCGGG